GCCAGGCAUGGUGGUGCAUGCCUAUAAUCCCAGUGACUAGGGAGGCUGAGGCAGGAAGAUUGCAAGUUUAAGGCCAGCCUCAGCAAUUUAGUGAGACCUUGUCUCAA
rnacentral:sRNA from 1 species